GACAUCCAAAAAAUUUUCUUUACACAUUAGCUUAUGCAUUUGCACCAUUUAUAUAUAUGAGUACUAAUGUUAUUUUAUAAUUGAUCGAUUAGUGUCCAAGACAAGAAGGAGGAUUCGAAUGUGGCUACUUUGUUAUGAGAUUCAUAAAAGAGAUAAUUUUUUAUCCUACAAUUAUUGCUUCAAAGUUUGGUGAUAAAAAAACAUAUUCUCAAGUAGAAUUCGAUGAAAUUAGAGGAGAAUGGGCUACUUUUGUGCUACAACUAAUCAUGAAUCAUGUUGAUGCAUCAUGAUCACCAUGCAUGGUAUACACUUUUGGGAUGGUGGAAUGGAGAAUAAAAAGAAAGAAGAAGGCAACAAGAUUUUGGGUUUUUAAAUGCAACUCUUAUGUCAUACGUUGUAGGACAUAAAUGUUACUUUAAUUAGUA